rnacentral:sRNA from 1 species
CGGCUGAUGCAGCGGGCACUACAGCAGAACUUCCUGGCCAUGGCGGCCCAGCUGCCCAUGAGCAUUCGGAUCAACAGCCAAGCCUCCGAAAGCCGCCAGGACUCUGCUGUGAACCUGACGGGCACCAACGGCAGCAACAGCAUCAGCAUGUCAGUGGAGAUCAACGGCAUCAUGUACACAGGUAGGACCCCUGAGGCCACGCCCUGCCUGGACCUCCCCUCUCCCGCUGUGAACUCAGGACCCUGAGUUGCGCCUGGUCCCACCUACUUGAACCCAGGUGUGCGGGCAAGCAGGGCACGGCCAGGGGCUUUGCGGGACAGUCAAGGCUGAUGGAGAGGAUACCAUCGUUCACCCGGUGCCGUGCUCAGCCCAGAGUGGGUCAUCCACAGAUAGAUAUUCGGCGUGACGUUGGAUGGUUCACAUUCCUGGUUUUUUGUUUUAAUGAGACGAAGUCUUGCACAGACAU